UGGUUAAAAGCAGGGUGUAGGGGAUAGAUCAGCCUUAUACAGCAGGGGCAAUGUGAUUGGUAACACCGACCACAAACUCGCCCAAUCAACACACCUUUGUCUGCAGAGAGCCAAUCCAGGACUGGUUUACGAGUUCGACAGUAGGAGUUGGUAGAAGUGGAGCUUUGGAGCCCUGCAGAGUAACAGCCCCUCUAAGACUGUAACUAGGCAUCCCCUGCACCAGGAGACAGACAGGUAGCAGCCCCUCUAAGACUGUAACUAGGCAUCCCCUGCACCAGGAGACAGACAGACAGGUAGCAGCCCCUCUAAGACUGUAACUAGGCAUCCCCUGCACCAGGAGACAGACAGGUAGCAGCCCCUCUAAGACUGUAACUAGGCAUCCCCUGCACCAGGAGACAGACAGACAGGUAGCAGCCCCUCUAAGACUGUAACUAGGCAUCCCCUGCACCAGGAGACAGACAGGUAGCAGCCCCUCUAAGACUGUAACUAGGCAUCCCCUGCACCAGGAGACAGACAGACGGGUAACAGCCCCUCUAAGACUGUAACUAGGCAUCCCCUGCACCAGGAGACAGACAGACAGGUAACAGCCCCUCAAGACUGUAACUAGGCAUCCCCUGCACCAGGAGACAGACAGGUAGCAGCCCCUCUAAGACUGUAACUAGGCAGCCCCUGCACCAGGAGACAGACAGACGGGUAGCAGCCCCUCUAAGACUGUAACUAGGCAUCCCCUGCACCAGGAGACAGACAGACAGGUAACAGCCCCUCAAGACUGUAACUAGGCAUCCCCUGCACCAGGAGACAGACAGGUAGCAGCCCCUCUAAGACUGUAACUAGGCAUCCCCUGCACCAGGAGACAGACAGACGGGUAGCAGCCCCUCUAAGACUGUAACUAGGCAUCCCCUGCACCAGGAGACAGACAGACAGGUAACAGCCCCUCUAAGACUGUAACUAGGCAGCCCCUGCACCAGGAGACAGA